GACGAACGCUGGCGGCGUGCUUAACACAUGCAAGUCGAACGGAAAGGCCCUGCUUUUGUGGGGUGCUCGAGUGGCGAACGGGUGAGUAACACGUGAGUAACCUGCCCUUGACAUUGGGAUAACUUCAGGAAACUGGGGCUAAUACCGGAUAGGAGCUCCUGCUGCAUGGUGGGGGUUGGAAAGUUUCGGCGGUUGGGGAUGGACUCGAGGCUUAUCAGCUUGUUGGUGGGGUAGUGGCUUACCAAGGCUUUGACGGGUAGCCGGCCUGAGAGGGUGACCGGCCACAUUGGGACUGAGAUACGGCCCAGACUCCUACGGGAGGCAGCAGUGGGGAAUAUUGCACAAUGGGCGGAAGCCUGAUGCAGCAACGCCGCGUGCGGGAUGACGGCCUUCGGGUUGUAAACCGCUUUCGCCUGUGACGAAGCGUGAGUGACGGUAAUGGGUAAAGAAGCACCGGCUAACUACGUG
rnacentral:rRNA from 1 species